AUUGAACGCUGGCGGCAUGCUUUACACAUGCAAGUCGAACGGUAACAGGCCGCAAGGUGCUGACGAGUGGCGAACGGGUGAGUAAUGCAUCGGAACGUGCCCAGUCGUGGGGGAUAACGCAGCGAAAGCUGCGCUAAUACCGCAUACGAUCUAUGGAUGAAAGCGGGGGACCGUAAGGCCUCGCGCGAUUGGAGCGGCCGAUGUCAGAUUAGGUAGUUGGUGGGGUAAAGGCUCACCAAGCCGACGAUCUGUAGCUGGUCUGAGAGGACGACCAGCCACACUGGGACUGAGACACGGCCCAGACUCCUACGGGAGGCAGCUGUGGGGAAUUUUGGACAAUGGGGGCAACCCUGAUCCAGCAAUGCCGCGUGCAGGAAGAAGGCCUUCGGGUUGUAAACUGCUUUUGUACGGAACGAAACGGCUCUGGUUAAUACCUGGGGCUAAUGACGGUACCGUAAGAAUAAGCACCGGCUAACUACGUGCCAGCCGCCGCCGCAGUAA
rnacentral:rRNA from 1 species